rnacentral:tmRNA from 1 species
GGGGCCGUUUAUGGAUUCGACGGGGACAGUUCGAGCAUGAGUAGCGGGUAGUAGGGCUGCGGCUGCUUCAAAAACGCGGAAAGCGAAUAAUCACAAACGAAAAACCUUCUCUGGCUCUGGCCGCCUAAUAACGGUCACCAGGCUCCUCCACUCCAUCGCCCAUGUGGCGUGACAUGGGCUCAACUUUAGUGGGAUACGCUGUCUAGUCUCCGCCUGGGGCUAGCUGAAGAAGACAAUCAGGCUGACUCAAUACAGAGCCGGUUCCGGGGCACUGCACGGGUGACAUCAAAACUGGAACUACACCCGUAGAAGCUUAUGUGACGUUGUUUCCGGACAGGGGUUAGACUCCCCUCGGCUCCC